GGUCGUGUGGCUUAGUGGUUAUGGCAUCUGCUUUACAAGUUCUUCGAAAGAAGAAGUCAAAAUCGCAGAGGAUCGCAGGUUCGAUCCCUGCCACGAUCA
rnacentral:tRNA from 1 species